rnacentral:rRNA from 1 species
UACGAAGGGGGCUAGCGUUGUUCGGAAUUACUGGGCGUAAAGCGCACGUAGGCGGACAUUUAAGUCAGGGGUGAAAUCCCGGGGCUCAACCCCGGAACUGCCUUUGAUACUGGGUGUCUGGAGUCCGAGAGAGGUGAGUGGAAUUCCGAGUGUAGAGGUGAAAUUCGUAGAUAUUCGGAGGAACACCAGUGGCGAAGGCGACAUCCUGGACCGGUAUUGACGCUGAGGUGCGAAAGCGUGGGGAGCAAACAGG